GUGGGGAAUAUUGGACAAUGGGCGAAAGCCUGAUCCAGCCAUGCCGCGUGAGUGAUGAAGGCCUUAGGGUUGUAAAGCUCUUUCAGUAGGGAAGAUAAUGACGGUACCUACAGAAGAAGCCCCGGCUAACUUCGUGCCAGCAGCCGCGGUAAUACGAAGGGGGCUAGCGUUGUUCGGAUUUACUGGGCGUAAAGCGCACGUAGGCGGAUUGGUCAGUUAGAGGUGAAAUCCUGGAGCUCAACUCCAGAACUGCCUUUAAUACUGCCAGUCUAGAGUCCAGAAGAAGUGAGUGGAACUCGUAGGGUAGAGGUGGAAUUCGUAGAUAUUAGGAAGAACACCAGUGGCGAAGGCGGCUCACUGGUCUGGUACUGACGCUGAGGUGCGAAAGCGUGGGGAGCAAACAGGAUUAGAUACCCCGGUAGUCC
rnacentral:rRNA from 1 species